UGCCAGCCGCCGCGGUAAUACGAAAGGGGCUAGCGUUGUUCGGAAUUACUGGGCGUAAAGCGCACGUAGGCGGCAAUGUAAGUUGGGGGUGAAAUCCCGGGGCUCAACCCCGGAACUGCCUCCAAAACUACAUAGCUAGAGGAUGUGAGAGGAUAGUGGAAUUCCGAGUGUAGAGGUGAAAUUCGUAGAUAUUCGGAAGAACACCAGUGGCGAAGGCGACUGACUGGCUCGUAACUGACGCUGAGGCACGAAAGCGUGGGGAGCAAACAGGAUUAGAUA
rnacentral:rRNA from 1 species